rnacentral:lncRNA from 1 species
CCAAGAAUAUACACCAAAAUUAAAAUUCAACCUAUUCUAGGAAUUUAAAAUGCAAAAGUGUAAGAAGAAAUUCUAGGUUGCAUCCUAGUAGCGGUUGUUUAACGUCACGAGUCUGACCCAAACCUGGUUGGCACUUGUCAGUAAGUGCACUACCUUCCACCACCCAUCAGUAGGUGUACCUUCCGGAUAUCCUUCAGUGGAUACCUAUAUCUUCUAACAUCCCCCAGUAGAUGCUAUCCGGGUAGCAUUCAUCAGUAAAUGCUAAUCUUUCUAAACUUCAUUGGCCUCCAUCAGUAAAUGCCAUAUCACCUAACAUCCAUCAGUAGAUGUUGUAGAAGCAUCCAUCAGUAGAUGUUAUCAUCACUACCAUCAGAAGCAAUGCAUAACCCAAAAAAAAAAUAAAGAAAAUAAAAUAAAAUAAAAUAAAACCAAAUCAAAUAAAAUCAAAUAAAAUAAAAAAAUCAAAUAAAAGAAAAUAAAAUAAAAAUAAAAAUAAAAUAAAAUCAAAUCAAAUCAAAUCGAAACGAAAUUAAAAAAAUUCAGAAACUGGGUUGCCUCCCAGCAAGCGCUCUUUUAACGUCAUUAGCUUGACCCGAUAAAGCCCAAACAUCCCUCAGUAGGUGUUGAUUUUUAACGUUGGCAUUCUUCCUUCCUUCAUGACACCAACAAUCUUCUUGUCACCCACUCUAAGGAUCCUCAAUCUCAAGAGCUCUGCUUGCUUUAAUAGUCUUGACAACCCAUAACCUAAUUUUGAAUUUCAUUGAUGUGUCAGGUUAGGGUUUGUCACUUUUCACAUCAGGGUGUUGGUGAACCAAUUCUCCUUCCUUAUCUGCCUCCUGAUGAUCUUGUGCUCCUAGUAC